rnacentral:lncRNA from 1 species
AUUUGUAUCCUCUCUUCCUAGUGUAUUAAACUUUUUUGGUUGCCAAACAAUCUCUUGUCAACAUGAGAUUGGGAAUAGACAUAAAUAAAUGAAGACUACAAAAUCAUAAGCGGAAUUGGAUGAUUCAGCAUGUGAAAUUAUUUUGAAUAUAAGGAGCUGGGUUCCAUCUGCAUCAAGUUUUUUCAACUGUUUUAGUAUCAAUCACACAACAACAUCAAGAAGCUGGGUUCUGCACCUAUUCAUACCCUAUCCCAACUGUUACACUGAUUUGUAAUCAUAGAUUAUUUUGAGUUAUAGCAGUCACAUAUGUCAUUUGCACAAGGGUUUCUUUCAUAAGAGGUGUUUUCCUUUUUCCUUGCUUUUAAAUUCCCUUUUCUUUUUUUUCUUUUUUUUCUUUUUUUUUUUUUGUUUUCAACUACUGAUAGCAUUUUGCACAAAAACAGUGUAUAUAAACAAGAGUAACAUAUUAGUUGGCUGAUUAAACAUUCUAGAUGAGCAAUCAAAAUUGAGAAAAUAGAAAAGGAAAGUACCAGGAGGUGGGACUGAGGUAACUGAAUUGCAUAAUGCGCAACAGACAUUUGUAGCUCCUCUGGGAUAAACAAGAAUGCUCCUACACCCAUUACACAUGAGAUGGCUCUGCAUAGCUGCAAUUUCAGAAAGUCCACAUAUUAAAGCUUAACUAAUAAACUACAUUACACCAUAAGAGAUAUCUAUACCCUCCAUGGCCUCCACAAUUUCAAUUGUUGAAAUUAUAUACUGAACAUGCCCCAAUUGCUUGUAAUACACUUUUAGUCUAGUGGAAUCAAACUUCCGUCAAAGCUAUAAUGGUAACACAAAAAACUUACCCAUUCUCAUCAACCAGAAAGUUUUAUUUACAUAAGAAAAUAAGAUGAAUCUGCACCACAAUUUGACUGCUACUCACUUAAUUGGUCUAGUCAACUCAAAAUUUCUUCAAGACUACACUGGUAAAACAGUAGAGAGAUAGAUAGAUAAAGAGAGAAAGAGAGAGAGAUUUCAGAUGAGAAUUUUAUUUACGUAAGAACUCAACAAAAAGCCUGCACCAACAUUUGAUUCAGGGUCUUUAUUAAGGUACUGCUACACCACAAUAAUAGGUACUCACAUGGAAGUGUGAUUGCACAUUUCUGCUCUCCCAGCACAAGCAUACCUGCCCUCUCAAUGCACUGUUUCAUCAGAUCCUUUGUGACAGUCCAAGGUUUGCUAUCAAGUUGUCAGGGUCAGGUCAAACCCUAAGGUCUGUCUAAGAGCAGCCACCACCUCCCCUUCCAUAAACUUACUCCCUAACAACAUUCUGUCAUCCACAUUGAUCAAAUCAGAAGUUCUUUCCUUUUUUUUUUUUUUUCUUUUUUUUUCCUGCUUGCAUAACCUUAAUUUUGUACUUCUCUCUUUAAAUCCUAAAAAUGAAAUCCCUGGUCUACCCUUAUUUGAUUGUAGGCUAUUGCCUUAUCUUGUCCUACAUUAGGUUUAGUAUCAAAGGAAAAGUUCUUAGCUUCAAAGUACGUAAUUUUAAAGAUGUGAAUAAUUUAAGCAACCAUGACUACAAGUGUCACUGUCCAUAGUUGUGAAAGGUGCGUUUCAGGUGCGCCUAGGCACAAGGCGGCACGCCUUUCUCCAAGCGACGCUUGUUGAAGGAGGCGCGGCUUAGGCAUGCAAGGCGCUCACCUUCGGCCAGGCGCAAAGCCCCAAAAAAGUACG